rnacentral:rRNA from 1 species
CCUACGGGUGGCAGCAGUGGGGAAUAUUGGACAAUGGGGGCAACCCUGAUCAAGCCAUGCCGCGUGUGUGAAGAAGGCCCUCGGGUUGUAAAGCACUUUCAGUGAGGAAGAACGCCUGGUGGUUAAUACCCAUCAGGAAAGACAUCACUCACAGAAGAAGCACCGGCUAACUCCGUGCCAGCAGCCGCGGUAAUACGGAGGGUGCGAGCGUUAAUCGGAAUUACUGGGCGUAAAGCGCGCGUAGGUGGCUUGAUAAGCCGGUUGUGAAAGCCCCGGGCUCAACCUGGGAACGGCAUCCGGAACUGUCAAGCUAGAGUGCAGGAGAGGAAGGUAGAAUUCCCGGUGUAGCGGUGAAAUGCGUAGAGAUCGGGAGGAAUACCAGUGGCGAAGGCGGCCUUCUGGACUGACACUGACACUGAGGUGCGAAAGCGUGGGUAGCAAACAGGAUUAGAUACCCUGGUAGUC